GACGAACGCUGGCGGCGUGCUUAACACAUGCAAGUCGAACGGAAAGGCCCUGCUUUUGUGGGGUGCUCGAGUGGCGAACGGGUGAGUAACACGUGAGUAACCUGCCCUUGACUUUGGUAUAACUUCAGGAAACUGGGUCUAAUACCGGAUAGGAGCUCCUUCUUCAUGGUGGGGGUUGGAAAUUUUCGGCGGUUGUGGAUGGACUCGCGGCUUAUCAGCUUGUUGGUGGGUUAGUGUCUUACCAAGGCUUUGACGGGUAGCCGGCCUGAGAGGGUGACCGGCCACAUUGGGACUGAGAUACGGACCAGACUCCUACGGGAGGCAGCAGUGGGGAAUAUAGAACAAUGGGCGGAAGCAUGAUGCAGCAACGCCGCGUGCGGGAUGACGGCCUUCGGGUUGUAAACCGAUGUCGCCUGUGACGAAGCGUGAGUGACGGUAAUGGGUAAAGAAGCACCGGCUAACUACG
rnacentral:rRNA from 1 species